GAUGAACGCUAGCUACAGGCUUAACACAUGCAAGUCGAGGGGAAACGACAUCGAAAGCUUGCUUUUGAUGGGCGUCGACCGGCGCACGGGUGAGUAACGCGUAUCCAACCUGCCCAUCACUUGGGAAUAACCUUGCGAAAGUAAGACUAAUAACCAAUGAUAUCCCACGAAGGCAUCGGAAUGGGAUUAAAGAUUUAUCGGUGAUGGAUGGGGAUGCGUCUGAUUAGCUUGUUGGCGGGGUAACGGCCCACCAAGGCAACGAUCAGUAGGGGUUCUGAGAGGAAGGCCCCCCAGAUUGGAACUGAGGCACAGUCCAAAAUCCUACGGGAGGCAGCAGUGAGGAAUAUUGGUCAAUGGGCGAGAGCCUGAACCAGCCAAGUAGCGUGCAGGAAGACGGCCCUAUGGGUUGUAAGCUGCUUUUAUAAGGGAAUAAAGUGGGUCACGUGUGACUUUUUGCAUGUACCUUAUGAAUAAGGACCGGCUAAUUCCGUG
rnacentral:rRNA from 1 species